AUUGAACGCUGGCGGCAGGCUUAACACAUGCAAGUCGAACGAGUGGCGGACGGGUGAGUAAUGUCUGGGAAACUGCCUGAUGGAGGGGGAUCACUCCUGGAAACGGUAGCUAAUACCGCAUACCAUCAGAUGUGCCCAGAUGGGAUUAGCUUGUUGGUGGGGUAACGGCGCACCAAGGCGACGAUCCCUAGCUGGUCUGAGAGGAUGACCAGCCACACUGGAACUGAGACACGGUCCAGACUCCUACGGGAGGCAGCAGUGGGGAAUAUUGCACAAUGGGCGCAAGCUUGAUUCAGCCGUGCCGCGUGUAUGAAGAAGGCCGUCGGGUUGUAAAGUACUUUCAGCGGGUGGACGUUACCCGCAGAAGAAGCACCGGCUAACUCCGUGCCAGCAGCCGCGGUAAUUC
rnacentral:rRNA from 1 species